rnacentral:rRNA from 1 species
GGUUGCGAUCAUACCAGCACUAAUGCACCGGAUCCCAUCAGGACUCCGCAGUUAAGCGUGCUUGGGCGAGAGUAGUACUAUGAUGGGUGACCCCCUGGGAAGUCCUCGUGUUGCAACCCC